AGAGAGACUCUUGAUAGAGAGAUUGAGAAAGAGAGAGAGAUAGAGAGAGGAAGAAAGAGGUGAGGAGAUCAUGGUUUCUGCUUUUAAUACCGAGGUUGACAAACUGUAUAAAUAUUUAUAACACUGGAUUAUUUGUAGAGUUAAAUUUACUUUAAAACUUUAGUUAUACUUACUAUUAUUUCCGUGUCCAAGAAGAGGUCAGAUAAGGAUUGUCUGCUGGACCAGAUGAAUGGUGAGAUUAAGAUAUAGAAGUAACACUUUAUAACUGCCAUAUUCCAAUGAAAUAUUUAUGAAUAUAUUGUAAAUCGUUCAUAAAUUGUUCAUCAUUAUAGCUAUUACAAAGCAACAAAAAAAACACUAAUGGACCUGAUAUUCAAUGUAUAAACCCAUUGAUAUUAUCUUUAUGACUGAAAUGGGGAAAAUGUAUAUGUCGUCGGAUAUGCCCUUGAAUUCUUCAGCGAGCGGUGUGAUCAUCUUUCAGUUCCAGCCAGGUGAGUCUGUCUGUGUCCCAAUAACACCAUAUUCCCUGUAUAGUGCACUACAUUCAAACGGAACCCUAUGGGCCCUGGUCAAAAGUAGUGCACUAAAACAGGGAUUAAGAUGCCAUUUGAGAGGCAGCCAUACACACUCGCAAUUAUUUGCUUAAAGGCGCACUCUAGAUUUUCACAGCGAUUUUUAAGCCAUUUAAAUGAAUGAUAAAUACCAAUUGAAUUAAUUAUAAAUGACAGUUCAAUUAAAUUUGAGGGUGGUUACAUUUCCCUAGUGUCAUCCCUCAGCUUUUUAGGAAACCAAGAGGCUGGGCUGCCAUUUUGAAUUACAGAGUGGGGAUUUAAAUCAUGAAUGCGAUAUCAAACGUACAGCUAUGGAAUAAAUGUAUGUUUAGAUUAUGAUUGAAUUUAAGGGUUCAUGGUUUCAGUUCAGAUUUGUUGGGUUUCAAUUGAACAGAAAGAAAGAAAGAAAUAUGUUUAAAAGGAAAAGAACAAUAGGGUAGAGGAGAUAGAGGAGGAAAAUAGAUAAAUGUCAUAAAAAGGAGGACAGACAAAUGAGGGAUGGAUGUGUGAGCGACAUAGACAGCAGCAAAGUGGAAGAAGAAGGGCAAAGGAGAGAGAGGGAGAGACCCAGUCAGCCAGACUAACAUAAAACAACUUGAAAGACAGUGUAGCCUGGUGUCACUGCGGGAACAUAGACAAGAGAGAGAGAAAGAGAGAGAAUAAGAGAGAGAGAGAGAGAGAGAG